GACAGAGGGUGCAAACGUUGUUCGGAAUUACUGAGCGUAAAGCGCGUGUAGGCGGCCGCGCAAGUCGGGCGUGAAAUCCCACGGCUCAACCGUGGAAGUGCACUCGAAACUGCGCAGCUUAAGUCCUGGAGAAGAAGGUGGAAUGCUUGGUGUAGAGGUGAAAUUCGUAGAUAUCAAGCGGAACACCGAUGGCGAAGGCGGCCUUCUGGACAGUGACUGACGCUGAGACGCGAAAGCGUGGGGAGCAAACAGG
rnacentral:rRNA from 1 species